GAUGAACACUAGCGGGAGGCCUAACACAUGCAAGCCGAGCGGUAUUGUUUCUUCGGAAAUGAGAGAGCGGCGUACGGGUGCGGAACACGUGUGCAACCUGCCUUUAUCUGGGGGAUAGCCUUUCGAAAGGAAGAUUAAUACUCCAUAACAUAUUGAUUGGCAUCAAUUGAUAUUGAAAGCUCCGGCGGAUAGAGAUGGGCACGCGCAAGAUUAGCUAGUUGGUGAGGUAACGGCUCACCAAGGCGAUGAUCUUUAGGGGGCCUGAGAGGGUGAUCCCCCACACUGGUACUGAGACACGGACCAGACUCCUACGGGAGGCAGCAGUGAGGAAUAUUGGUCAAUGGGUGCAAGCCUGAACCAGCCAUCCCGCGUGAAGGACGACUGCCCUAUGGGUUGUAAACUUCUUUUGUAUAGGGAUAAACCUACCCUCGUGAGGGUAGCUGAAGGUACUAUACGAAUAAGCACCGGCUAACUCCGUGCCAGCAGCCGCCGUAAUAC
rnacentral:rRNA from 1 species